rnacentral:rRNA from 1 species
UACGUAGGGGGCUAGCGUUGUCCGGAAUCAUUGGGCGUAAAGCGCGCGUAGGCGGCCCGGUAAGUCCGCUGUAAAAGUCAAAGGCUCAACCUUUGAAUGUCAGUGGAUACUGCCGGGCUAGAGUCCGGAAGAGGCGAGUGGAACUCCUGGUGUAGCGGUGAAAUGCGCAGAUAUCAGGAGGAACACCGAUGGCGAAGGCAGGUCUCUGGGCAUUAACUGACGCUGAGGAGCGAAAGCGUGGGGAGCAAACAGG